rnacentral:rRNA from 1 species
UGGGGAAUUUUGGACAAUGGGGGCAACCCUGAUCCAGCAACGAUGCGUGGAGGACGAAGGUUUUCGGAUUGUAAACUCCUUUUGAGAGGGAAGAAAAAAAUGACGGUACCUCUCGAAUAAGCCACGGCUAACUACGUGCCAGCAGCCGCGGUAAGACGUAGGUGGCAAGCGUUACUCGGAAUUACUAGGCGUAAAGCGCGCGUAGGCGGGAUGUUAAGUCUGUUGUGUAAUCUCUGGGCUCAACCCAGAAACUGCAACGGAAACUGGCGUUCUUGAGUGAGGCAGAGGAAAUCGGAAUUCCAAGUGUAGCAGUGAAAUGCGUAGAUAUUUGGAGGAACACCGGUGGCGAAGGCGGAUUUCUGGGCCUUUACUGACGCUGAAGUGCGAAAGCUAGGGGAGCAAACG